CUAGACCAGAGCUCCGGCUCCUGCCCAGCGCCGGCCCCAGCCAGGCUGGCUGCAGCUUCCAGAUCCCAGACCUACAGAGGCCAAGCGGGUAGUUGCAUCUGCCCAGGGCCCCUGCUGCCCUCUGUGCCUGGGGGGCUGGGCCAGCCGCAUGGAAGAUUUCCAGGGUGAUACUAAAAAUAUUGAACGAUGGCAAUAUGCAAUAACAGGGUCCCAGAGGCCUCCUGCUCUACGAGGAGUUACCCUUUAACGUCUGGAUCGCGAGAAGGCAUUAGCUCCUGGGGCCGCUGUACCAAAGUGCAGCAAAGUGACAUGGAACUCACAGGCCAGCAGGCUUCCUCAGUUCCUGACAUCAUCUCACUUACGUGUCCACUUACAUGUUACCACGUGGCCCUGCAAGAACGUGAGCUCCUUGAGGGCCGGGUUCCACUUGAAUCGCCCAUGGCCUGUGGCCUUGUGUGUAGGAAGAUGUCUGCUCAUCCUAGCUGCUCAAGAUUCAGACCUGCAGGUGCCCAGAGCGAUGACCAGCCCUGUGGGACUAGAGGAAUAAGCCACGUUCAAGGGUUGGUGGCAGGCGUGCCACAGGUGUGCCUGUGGGGGUGGGCAGGCAUGCUGGGGCAGGCCACACCUUGCUUGUGGUGGGGCUGGCCCAGGACACCGAAGGGCGGGGACACAGAGGCUGACAAAGCAUGGCGUGGGCCGGGGGGCGGUUGCCAGAGGUCUCUCAGCUCUGCCAAGGUGAUUUCCUUCAGGGCCACAGAAGAGGAGGGGGCCACGCAGAGCAGGAGGAAAUGCACCCUGUAAAACCCAGGCUCCUGUACCCAUCCGAGGCUAAAAACACCCACUCAGCUGCACACUCAGGACCCCACCCAACGACGUUUCAGAAGAGGGACAUUAGCACCUGGGAGACACUGGCCAGCUAGUCCGUGGCUGUCCAUCAGAUACAGCCACUGGGUUCAACAAACUGAACACUUUUGGACCUUAUGGACCUCCACCUACAGUGUGUCUGCAGCUCAGCAGGGAGCAAAAUGGGGCUGGUUGGUUGAAGAGCUGGGCAGGAACCCAGCAGACCUGCCUCACAGUCGUGGCC